AACGGCCAUGAUGGCUGAGCUAAUGAUGUGGUGGACAUUAGUGCUGCUGCGCCACCAGCAACCAAUGCCAACGACUGUGAGCAGUACGAAGGCAGGGAGAAGAGAGAGGAGGAGGCGGAUGAGGACAAAAGGAGGAAUGUCUCGGCAGCAGCAAAAAGACAAACCCAGCACAGAACCAACGAGGCCCACAUUCCUUACCCUUCCCCCGCCUCUCUCUCACGCCCCCCACCCAACAUACGAUCCAAAAAAGGGAAAAAAAAGGGAAGAAAAGGAAAAGAGGAGGCGAGAGAGAAGGGGGAAGUGCCUGCUCUUCUUCUUCUUCGUCUUCUGCUGCUGCUAUGGCGAAGCUCAGGAGGAAACCGGUCCUCCCGUCCGCCGACUCCAAUGACGAGAGUGACCCCCGCCCCGGCGCCUGUGGCUACGGAUCUGCGAGGGCGUUUUCGUCAAUGUAGCUCCCCCUUCCCCCUCAACCCCCUCACCGAUGGAAGGCAGACAGGAUGGAGCCAGGCAACGCGGAGUAGAGCGGGCGAGUACGAAGAGAGGGGGGGAGCCGUCUCUUCUUCGUAUGUACGUACGGAUCCUGCUGUCGAUUUUGGUCCAAUGGAUGCUAGCUUUUGUGAUAAAAUUUUGUUGAUGUUUAAGACAAUUGCUAAGGAUAUAUGCUGAUGGCAGAGAUUAGCGCUACUAUGUCAAUUAUGUUUUUCAUUCUCACUUUAGAGGCUGUUUUACUGGUUGGAAUGAAGUCUUUCCACUUUGUGAUUCCUUAAUGAUCAAGUAAUGAAGACUUUUUUUCUUUCAAAUGUGUAAUUUGUGAUGAACUGACAAUGUGAGAUACAUACCUAAAUCGAGUGUCUUUCCUAAA